GGGAAAAAUGGCUAGAAACUGACUCUUAAUCAGUAGGUUCGGGGUUCGAUUCCCUGACGGCUCACCA
rnacentral:tRNA from 1 species